AGGAUAAUAGUUAAAUUUAAUAUUUGAUUUGCACUCAAAAGAUGUUGAUUAAUCAACUUAUCUUA
rnacentral:tRNA from 1 species